CCUACGGGAGGCAGCAGUGAGGAAUAUUGGGCAAUGGACGCAAGUCUGACCCAGCCAUGCCGCGUGCAGGAUGAAGGCCCUAUGGGUUGUAAACUGCUUUUGUAUAGGAGGAAAUCCCUGAACGAGUUUCAGGGUUGACAGUACUGUGCGAAUAAGCAUCGGCUAACUCCGUGCCAGCAGCCGCGGUAAUACGGAGGAUGCAAGCGUUAUCCGGAUUUAUUGGGUUUGAAGGGUGCGUAGGCGGGACAAUAAGUCAGAGGUGAAAUCUCCCGGCUUAGCCGGGAAACUGUCUUUGAUACUGUUGUCCUUGAGUAUAGUUGAGGUGGGCGGAAUGUGUAAUGUAGCGGUGAAAUGCAUAGAUAUUACACAGAACACCGAUUGCGAAGGCAGCUCACUAAACUAAAACUGACGCUGAGGCACGAAAGCGUGGGUAGCGAACAGGAUUAGAUACCCUGGUAGUCUACGCCGUAAACGAUGAAUACUCGAUGUGUGCGACACAUUGUACGCGUCUGAGCGAAAGCAUUAAGUAUUCCACCUGGGGAGUACGAUCGCAAGAUUGAAACUCAAAGGAAUUGACGG
rnacentral:rRNA from 1 species